UUUUCUUCUGGCAGGGGAUGGCAUGAGCCGGGCUCUGCGGGCACUGAGGCUGCUCUGGGCUCUGCCAGGGCUCUGCUGGGCUCUGCCCUGGGCACAGCUGGGCUGGCUCUGCCCUCACAUUGCUCUGACAGCUUUGCAUCAGACGAGCCCAUUUGAGCACAGCGCCUGAGCUUUCUGCCUUGGCAGAAGUGCCACGAGUGGGCCAAACCUGGCAAGUGAGCCGAGUUCCUAAGGCAUUGCUGUCUGGAG
rnacentral:lncRNA from 1 species